AUGAACGCUGGCGGCGUGCCUAAUACAUGCAAGUCGAGCGAACGGACGAGAAGCUUGCUUUUCUGAUGUUAGCGGCGGACGGGUGAGUAACACGUGGAUAACCUACCUAUAAGACUGGGAUAACUUCGGGAAACCGGAGCUAAUACCGGAUAAUAUUUUGAACCGCAUGGUUCUUAAGUGAAAGACGGUCUUGCUGUCACUUAUAGAUGGAUCCGCGCUGCAUUAGCUAGUUGGUAAGGUAACGGCUUACCAAGGCAACGAUGCAUAGCCGACCUGAGAGGGUGAUCGGCCACACUGGAACUGAGACACGGUCCAGACUCCUACGGGAGGCAGCAGUAGGGAAUCUUCCGCAAUGGGCGAAAGCCUGACGGAGCAACGCCGCGUGAGUGAUGAAGGUCUUCGGAUCGUAAAACUCUGUUAUUAGGGAAGAACAUAUGUGUAAGUAACUGUGCACAUCUUGACGGUACCUAAUCAGAAAGCCACGGCUAACUACGUG
rnacentral:rRNA from 1 species